rnacentral:lncRNA from 1 species
CCCGCCCCCGCAGCCCCGCCCCGCCCCGCCGCGAGCGAGGGCGGGGACCGCUGCGCCUACCUGCCUUUCCCUCCAUAGGGACUUCCCAAAGGAAAGGAGGGCGUUUAGGGGCUUUCACACGCCUGAUCUUAAACACAGCGCCCUGACCCCUCCCCACCAAAAACGGCAAAAUGUCAUUUUUGGGGGCAAAUCUAAGGUUUUCCCUACAAUUGUUCAAGCUUUCACACUAAAACAUUUACCUAAAAACGGGCAGAAAUUCAGCCUUAAACCCACAAAUCUCACGAUGGUAUAGACCCUGGGCCCACUCAGGUUUCCUGAAAACUAAACAGUUCUGGAGUUAGGGGUUUGGAGAACGGGCUAUUGUUAAAGAAAAAAGUAUUUAGUGACACUUGUUAAAGCACAAAAAGAGGGCUUUAUUCAGGACCAUCGCAACAGGUAUAGGGACCACUGACUGCAAUGGAGACUUGCAGUAGGGAAAGAGAUAUUGGGCUCAACUCCUCAUACAGCAUGGGCAAGUGGAGAUUUAUAGCCAAGGAGCGGUGGUGCAUUAGUAUUACUACUGGGCUCCAAGUUCCUCAUCUGAAAUCUGUCUCCUCUGGAAAUACUUAUUUACAAGACGACGUUUCUUGUCACAACGCAGGUUUAAACAGCAGCUUUUAAAUGUUUACUGUGGGAAGAAUAGUCAAGGGAGUGGUGCGUUGGGAAGACAGACCAGAGUUUGCUGCUGGCACUGUUACGCAGGGACUGUUUGGCAUGACCUUCACUCCUUUUCUGGUUCUUUGGUCUUUCUAAGGUGGCCUCAAUUUCUUUAUCAGUAAAUAAGAUUAUCUCUGAGAUGUCAUUCACUCAAAUAGCCAUUUUAUAAAAAUCUACUUGCAUCUUCAACUUCAUUCACUGUGGAUUCGUUGUUUUCCUUUAUCUAGUUUUUACAUUUUACCUUUCAAGCCGGUGCUAUUGCUCUCACUCCCCCGCUUAAAAACCUCCACUGGUUUCCUCCUCCACUUUUUUUUUUUUUUUAAAGAAAUCCUAAACUUUUAGAAUGGAAAAUACGGUGUUUUCAUAAUCAUGCCAGCCUUCUCACUGUUUCUGCCUCCCCGUAACUCCACAGAACCUACUGUUCCCACAGCCCUUUUAUGCGUGGAAACCUUUAAGUGGGCUCUUCUCUUUGCCUAAAAUGUGAUCCCCGCUGGCAGAAACAUACAUUAUCUUAAAAACUGAUUUAGCCGGCAGGGCGUGGUGGCUCAUGCCUGUAAUCCCAGCGCACUUUGGGAGGUCGAGGCGGGGAGAUCAUGAGGUCAGUAGUUCGAGACCAGCAUGACCAACAUGGUGAAACCCCAUCUCUACUAAAAAUACAAAAAUUAGCUGGGUGUGGUGGCGCACGCCUGUAAUCCCAGCUACUCAGGAGGCUGAGGGAGGAGAAUUAAUUGAACCCGGGAGGCAGAGGUUGGAGUGAGCCAAGAUGGUGCCACUGCACUCCAGCCUGGGAGACAGAGUGAGACUCCAUCUCAAAA